rnacentral:misc_RNA from 1 species
CAAAUAUUUGUAGGAUCAAUAAUAUUUGACGUUUAGAAAACAAAAACAAAAACAAAAAAUUUCUAAAAUUUAUCUCUUCACUGUUCUUCUAUAGUUUGACUGUUAGCCCAAACUCAACAUUUCAUUCCUCUCUUAUGUCCCCAGCGUGCAACUCAUCACAAUGCAGUUUUUAUCUUUUGUACAGUUCCCUCACAUCUUCACCCAAUAGCGGGCUUUCCAAGAAGGGAUCACCGCACUCUUUCAGGUCAACAGUCUCCACCUCAAAAUCCUGAUAACCACAGUACUCAUUCCAUUCAAACCACAUUUUUGCAAUAGCUUCCUUCCUGAAACAAGCACUAUGAUCUUCCUCUUCAGGUGAAUCGGCAGCAACCAAUCUAUAAGCAUAGACUUUCUUCUUUUG